UACGUAGGGCGCGAGCGUUGUCCGGAAUCAUUGGGCGUAAAGAGCUCGCAGGCGGCCUGUCGCGUCCGCUGUGAAAACCCGGGGCUCAACCCCGGGCUUGCAGUGGAUACGGGCUGGCUAGAGGCAGGCAGGGGAGAACGGAAUUCCCGGUGUAGCGGUGAAAUGCGCAGAUAUCGGGAGGAACACCGGUGGCGAAGGCCGUUCUCUGGGCCUGUACUGACGCUGAGGAGCGAAAGCGUGGGGAG
rnacentral:rRNA from 1 species